rnacentral:snRNA from 1 species
AGCUUUGCACAGUGGCAGUAUCAUAGCCAGUGAGGUUUCUCUGAGGCAGAGUAUUGCUAAUUAAAAACUAAGCAGAAGAAAUGUCAUCAGAUGUAAUGAAAAAUGUUAGAAGCGUUAACCCUGUACCAUAGUUCUGUACUGAGAGAGUCCGUCUGAUUUUGGAUUAUCUUCUGUCUCUUCUAGAU